UACGAAGGGGGCUAGCGUUGCUCGGAAUCACUGGGCGUAAAGCGCACGUAGGCGGACUCUUAAGUCGGUGGUGAAAUCCUGGAGCUCAACUCCAGAACUGCCUUCGAUACUGGGAGUCUCGAGUCCGGGAGAGGUGAGUGGAACUGCGAGUGUAGAGGUGAAAUUCGUAGAUAUUCGCAAGAACACCAGUGGCGAAAGGCGGCUCACUGGCCCGGUACUGACGCUGAGGCACGAAAGCGUGGGGAGCAAACAGG
rnacentral:rRNA from 1 species